UACAGAGGGUGCUAGCGUUGUUCGGAAUCAUUGGGCGUAAAGGGCGUGUAGGCGGUUUGUUAAGUCAUGUGUGAAAUCCCUCGGCUCAACCGGGGAACGACGCAUGAAACUGGCAAGCUAGAGUACCAAAGAGGGGGUGGAAUUCCGGUGUAGCGGUGAAAUGCGUAGAUAUCGGGAGGAACACCUGUGGCGAAGGCGGCCCCCUGGUUGGAUACUGACGCUGAGACGCGAAAGCGUGGGAGCAA
rnacentral:rRNA from 1 species